rnacentral:rRNA from 1 species
GACGAACGCUGGCGGCGUGCCUAAUACAUGCAAGUCGAGCGAAUCACUAGGAGCUUGCUCCUGGUGGUUAGCGGCGGGCGGGUGAGUAACACGUGGGCAACCUGCCUGUAAGACUGGGAUAACACCGGGAAACCGGUGCUAAUACCGGAUAAUCCUUUUCCUCUCAUGAGGAAAAGCUGAAAGUCGGUUUCGGCUGACGCUUACAGAUGGGCCCGCGGCGCAUUAGCUAGUUGGUGAGGUAACGGCUCACCAAGGCGACGAUGCGUAGCCGACCUGAGAGGGUGAUCGGCCACACUGGGACUGGGAUACGGCCCAGACUCCGACGGGAGGCAGCAGUAGGGAAUCUUCCACAAUGGACGAAAGUCUGAUGGAGCAACGCCGCGUGAGCGAUGAAGGCCUUCGGGUCGUAAAGCUCUGUUGUUAGGGAAGAACAAGUACCGGAGUAACUGCCGGUACCUUGACGGUACCUAACCAGAAAGCCACGGCUAACUACGUGCCAGCAGCCGCCGUAACAC